UUAAAGCACAAACAAAAUACAAGGCAUGGU
rnacentral:piRNA from 1 species